rnacentral:rRNA from 1 species
AACGAACGCUGGCGGCGUGCCUAACACAUGCAAGUCGAGCGAUUCUCUUCGGAGAAGAGCGGCGGACGGGUGAGUAACGCGUGGGUAACCUGCCCUGUACACACGGAUAACAUACCGAAAGGUAUGCUAAUACGGGAUAACAUAUUUUGAUGGCAUCUUCGAAAUAUCAAAGCUCCGGCGGUACAGGAUGGACCCGCGUCUGAUUAGCUAGUUGGUGAGGUAAUGGCUCACCAAGGCGACGAUCAGUAGCCGACCUGAGAGGGUGAUCGGCCACAUUGGAACUGAGACACGGUCCAAACUCCUACGGGAGGCAGCAGUGGGGAAUAUUGCACAAUGGGCGAAAGCCUGAUGCAGCAACGCCGCGUGAGCGAUGAAGGCCUUCGGGUCGUAAAGCUCUGUCCUCAAGGAAGAUAAUGACGGUACUUGAGGAGGAACGCCCCGGCUAACUACGUG